rnacentral:rRNA from 1 species
UGGGGAAUCUUCCGCAAUGGACGAAAGUCUGACGGAGCAACGCCGCGUGAGUGAUGACGGUCUUCGGAUUGUAAAGCUCUGUUAAUCGGGACGAAUGGUUUGUGUGCAAAUAGUGCAUAGACAUGACGGUACCGGAAUAGAAAGCCACGGCUAACUACGUGCCAGCAGCCGCGGUAAUACGUAGGUGGCAAGCGUUGUCCGGAAUUAUUGGGCGUAAAGCGCGCGCAGGCGGACUAGCCAGUCAGUCUUAAAAGUUCGGGGCUUAACCCCGUGAUGGGAAUGAAACUACUAGUCUAGAGGAUCGGAGAGGAAAGUGGAAUUCCUAGUGUAGCGGUGAAAUGCGGAGAUAUUAGGAAGAACACCAGUGGCGAAGGCGACUUUCUGGACGAACACUGACGCUGGGGCGCGAAAGCCAGGGGGGCGAACGGG